UACAGAGGUCUCAAGCGUUGUUCGGAUUCAUUGGGCGUAAAGGGUGCGUAGGUGGCGCCGUAAGUCGGGUGUGAAAUUUCGGAGCUUAACUCCGAAACUGCAUUCGAUACUGCGGUGCUUGAGGACUGGAGAGGAGACUGGAAUUCAUGGUGUAGCAGUGAAAUGCGUAGAGAUCAUGAGGAAGACCAGUGGCGAAGGCGGGUCUCUGGACAGUUCCUGACACUGAGGCACGAAGCCAGGGGAGCAAACGGG
rnacentral:rRNA from 1 species